rnacentral:lncRNA from 1 species
UGAGUUUUUAAUCUGAAAAAUCGCUUAGGGCUGCACAACAAAAGCGUGAGCAGCAACAGCAAUGGAACUCUAUAGGUAAUAGGCAAAUCCAGUCAACACCUUCGUUCUUGACCGACGCAAACUGACCUGCAUCAAAGAAAGAGGCAUGUGGGGGCGGUGAGGGCUAAUGACGCAAACCACAGAUAUUGCAACACCGUUGCGUCGAAGACGAAAGGAGAGCCUUUACCAUCUCAUAGUAGCCUAUUAUUCCAAGGCAAAACGACUGAGAAAUUGACAAACAUGUACUCAUCUUACUUGUUAGUUACUGUUACUUAUUUUAGAUAAAAUAGAAGUUUUGUUGAAAAA